CAGCAGCCGCGGGAAAACGGAGGGUGCAAGCGUUAAUCGGAAUUACUGGGCGUAAAGCGCACGCAGGCGGUCUGACAAGUCAGAUGUGAAAUCCCCGGGCUUAACCUGGGAACUGCAUUUGAAACUGUCAGGCUGGAGUCUUGUAGAGGGGGGUGGAAUUCCAGGUGUAGCGGUGAAAUGCGUAGAGAUCUGGAGGAAUACCGGUGGCGAAGGCGGCCCCCUGGACAAAGACUGACGCUCAGGUGCGAAAGCGUGGGGAGCAAACAGGAUUAGAUACCCCUGUAGUCCCUGUCUCUUAUAA
rnacentral:rRNA from 1 species